CUGUCCCCUGAGCCAUUUGGGACUUAAUUUACCAAAUUCUUUUAUCAAUUCCCAAAUAUUUUACAAAUUGUGAUACUGAAAUUCUGGAGGAAGAAGCUGGGCUAGUUUGUGCACAGAGAACCAGAGCAUUCACAUCAACAUCCAGCAUGCAUUUGAGUGGAGGAAGCAGUGUGAUCCAUGUCCUCUGAAAGAAUUGAGGAAAGGAUGCAGUGGAGAGAAAUCUAAGCCUUUGCUGAAAAUCCUCAUCUCUACUCAGUUUGGACUGCCCAGUUGGAGUGUCCAGGCUCUGAGCAGAUAAUUUAAGUGUGGAACUCAAAGCCCUCAAGUAACUGUUAUUUCUUAACAAGAUGUGGUAAAAGAGG
rnacentral:lncRNA from 1 species